rnacentral:tRNA from 1 species
AACUUCUUGGCAGAAACAUUGCAUUAGAUUUAGAAUCUA